UGGUGAGCGAACGACAGACAUAUCGUAAGUGUCAGGGUUAUAUAGGGCUGGCGGAAUUCCUUGAGUGCUGCGUCCACUGGUUCUUCUGGUUAGAUCUUGGUUUUGUGGCAUAAAACCGGCAGAAAUUUCUUGAAUACAGGAAUAAACCUAAACUCGGCUGGCUCCCAAAUGACAGGCAGGAUUUCGGCAAAAUAAAAAGCUGCGUUUAUUUGGUUUGUUUGUUUACAAAUAGCGAGUUUAGUUGUCGUUGUUUAUUCUCUGUAAGAAUUUUAAAAAUUUAACAAAAAUUAAGUUUACAAAAAAAAAAAAAAAUAAAAAUAUUUAAUUUAAAAACAAUAAAAA